CCUACGGGUGGCAGCAGUGGGGAAUAUUGGGCAAUGGGCGCAAGCCUGACCCAGCAACGCCGCGUGAAGGAAGAAGGCUUUCUGGUUGUAAACUUCUUUUAAUAGGGAAGAACAUCAGACUGUACCUCUUGACUCAGCCACUGCUAACUACGUUCCAGCAGCCGCGGUCAUACGUAGGUGGCAAGCGUUUUCCGGGUUUACUGGGUGUAAAGGGCGUGCAGCCGGGAAGACAAGUCAGAUGUGAAAUCCCGCGGCUCAACCGCGGAACUGCAUUUGAAACUGUUUUUCUUGAGUACCGGAGAGGUCAUCGGAAUUCGUUGUGUAGCGGUGAAAUGCGUAGAUAUAAGGAAGAACACCAGUGGCGAAGGCGGAUGACUGGACGGAAACUGACGGUGAGGCGCGAAAGCGUGGGGAGCAAACAGGAUUAGAUACCCUUGUAGUC
rnacentral:rRNA from 1 species